rnacentral:rRNA from 1 species
ACGGCGAGUGAAGCGGCAAAAGCUCAAAUUUGAAAUCUGGUACCUUCGGUGCCCGAGUUGUAAUUUGGAGAGGGCAACUUUGGGGCCGUUCCUUGUCUAUGUUCCUUGGAACAGGACGUCAUAGAGGGUGAGAAUCCCGUGUGGCGAGGAGUGCGGUUCUUUGUAAAGUGCCUUCGAAGAGUCGAGUUGUUUGGGAAUGCAGCUCUAAGUGGGUGGUAAAUUCCAUCUAAAGCUAAAUAUUGGCGAGAGACCGAUAGCGAACAAGUACAGUGAUGGAAAGAUGAAAAGAACUUUGAAAAGAGAGUGAAAAAGUACGUGAAAUUGUUGAAAGGGAAGGGCAUUUGAUCAGACAUGGUGUUUUGUGCCCUCUGCUCCUUGUGGGUAGGGGAAUCUCGCAUUUCACUGGGCCAGCAUCAGUUUUGGUGGCAGGAUAAAUCCAUAGGAAUGUAGCUUGCCUCGGUAAGUAUUAUAGCCUGUGGGAAUACUGCCAGCUGGGACUGAGGACUGCGACGUAAGUCAAGGAUGCUGGCAUAAUGGUUAUAUGCCGCCCGUCUUGAAACAC